GUCCACGCUGUAAACGAUGGGCACUUGGCGUUGCGGGUAUUGACCCCUGCAGUGCCGAAGCUAACGCAUUAAGUGCCCCGCCUGGGGAGUACGGCCGCAAGGCUAAAACUCAAAGGAAUUGACGGGGCCCGCACAAGCGGUGGAGUAUGUGGUUUAAUUCGACGCAACGCGAAGAACCUUACCUGGCCUUGACAUCCGAGGAAUCCCUCCGAAAAGAGGGAGUGCCCUUCGGGGAGCCUCGAGACAGGUGCUGCAUGGCUGUCGU
rnacentral:rRNA from 1 species